CUCAAUUUGAAAUUCUGGUUCUUGCUUUCAGAUCUCUACAAAAUGCUGCUCCCACCUAUCUAUCCUCCCUGAUACACAAGUAUGUCCUGUCUAGGCCCUUACGCUCUGCUGAAGACUUCUAUCUUCUAUCUUCUGUCCGUACUCCCACCUCUGAUGCUCGCCUUCAAGACUUCUCGAGGGCUGCACCGUUCCUGUUGAACUCACUUCUCUCCUCUGUUAGAUGCAUACCCAGUCUCCACUCCUUCAAAAAAAUAAUUAAAAACCCACUUCUUCAUAAAAG